rnacentral:misc_RNA from 1 species
AUAUGUCAACACAGGCAAGUUUGUCAUGACUUGCUCUGCUGUUUGGACGUUGAAGGCUUGCUGGCAUUGACGUGUUCUGUCAGCUCCUUUUAAAUUCAUUAGCAGGAACCUUGCAGGACUGGCUUCAGUUUGAUAAGAUUGAACUGUCGUUAGAAUCCGCUUUUGCUGUUCCAGCUUCUAAUUGUCUGGUAAAACUGGACUGUCUCGCUCUGAGACAUUUACAUUUGACA